CUGUGUUCUGGUUUCCCCCCCUUUUUUUGUGCUGCUUCUUGAUUGAUUGGGGGAGUGUUCAUUAAUUGCACCGGUGUGGGAUUUGUAUCCCCAUAAAGGCACACCCCUAACUCACUGAGCUUGCUCACAUUAUUUGAAAGCAGCCACUAUUAAGUAGACUCUUUCAAGUAGGAGUUAGAAAACCAGGAGUUGAAACAAACAAGGGGUUUAAACUAACAAGGUAAUUGUUUUAAUUUUCUGUUUCUGGGGAAAUGAGUGUUAGCAAGAUUGCUGGUUUGACUCAAUGCACAUCUUGUUGCAUGUAUGGAUGCCUGGAUAUACCCGUCCACGGUCCAUACCUCUGUGAUGGCUGUGUGCGAGUGGCUUCUCUGGAAGCUCAGAUUGGAGAUCU